UGGGGAAUAUUGGACAAUGGGCGCAAGCCUGAUCCAGCCAUGCCGCGUGAGUGAUGAAGGCCUUAGGGUUGUAAAGCUCUUUUGGCAGGGACGGGUGCGGGUUAAUAACCUGCAUUGAUGACGGUACCUGAAGAAGAAGCACCGCUACUAC
rnacentral:rRNA from 1 species